rnacentral:rRNA from 1 species
UACGGAGGGUGCAAGCGUUAAUCGGAAUUACUGGGCGUAAAGCGUGCGCAGGCGGUUUGUUAAGUCCGUUGUGAAAGCCCCGAGCUCAACCUGGGAACUGCAUUGGUGACUGGCGGGCUAGAGUGUGGCAGAGGGGGGUAGAAUUCCACGUGUAGCAGUGAAAUGCGUAGAGAUGUGGAGGAAUACCGAUGGCGAAGGCAGCCCCCUGGGCUAACACUGACGCUCAUGCACGAAAGCGUGGGGAGCAAACAGG